rnacentral:rRNA from 1 species
GACAGAGGUGCCGAGCGUUAGGCGGAAUCACUGGGCUUAAAGCGUGUGUAGGCGGACCCGUCAGUGUCUUGUGAAAUCCCACGGCUCACCCGUGGAACGGCUGGGCAUACUGGCGAUCUUGGGCCAACCAGGGGCAACUGGAACAAGCGGUGGAGCGGUGAAAUGCGUAGAUAUCGCUUGGAACGCCGAAGGUGAAAACAGGUUGCUGGGGUUGUGCCGACGCUGAGACACGAAAGCCAGGGGAGCAAACGGG